GAGACAUAUAGACAGGUGGUGCAUGGUUGUCGUCAGCUCGUGUCGUGAGAUGUUGGGUUAAGUCCCGCAACGAGCGCAACCCUUACUGUUAGUUGCUACGCAAGAGCACUCUAGCAGGACUGCCGUUGACAAGACGGAGGAAGGUGGGGAUGACGUCAAAUCAUCAUGCCCCUUAUGACCUGGGCCUCACACGUACUACAAUGGCUGUUAACAGAGGGAUGCAAAGCCGCGAGGUGGAGCGAACCCCUAAAAGCAGUCUUAGUUCGGAUUGUAGGCUGCAACCCGCCUACAUGAAGUCGGAAUUGCUAGUAAUCGCAGAUCAGCAUGCUGCGGUGAAUACGUUCCCGGGCCUUGUACACACCGCCCGUCACGCCAUGGGAGUCGGUAACACCCGAAGCCUGUAGUCUAACCGCAAGGAGGACGCAGUCGAAGGUGGGAUUGAUGACUGGGGUGAAGUCGUAACAAGGUACCCG
rnacentral:rRNA from 1 species